rnacentral:misc_RNA from 1 species
GAUGAAGAACGUAGCGAAAUGCGAUACGUAAUGUGAAUUGCAGAAUUCAGUGAAUCAUCGAAUCUUUGAACGCACCUUGCGCUCCUUGGUAUUCCGAGGAGCAUGCCUGUUUGAGUGUCAUUAAUAUAUCAACCUCUUCAGCUUAUGCUUGUUGAGUGUUGGAUGGUGGGGGUUUGCUGGUGUCUUAUGAAGUCAGCUCCUCUGAAAUGCAUUAGCGGAACAAUUUGUUGACCGUUCAUUGGUGUGAUAAAAAUAUCUACGCUAUUGACGUCAGUCAGUUCAGCUUCUAACAGUCCAUUGACUUGGACAAAUUUUUCAUUAAUGUGACCUCAAAUCAGGUAGGACUACCCGCUGAACUUAAGCAUAUCAAUAAGCGGAGGA